GAUGAAGAACGUAGCGGAAUGCGAUAAGUAGUGUGAAUUGCAGAAUUCCGUGAAUCAUCGAAUCUUUGAACGCACAUUGCGCCUCCUGGUAGUCCGGGAGGCAUGCCUGUUCGAGCGUCACCAAAUCCAACUCAAGCGGUUUUGCGCUUGGUCGUGGCGGAAGAGUCGGUCUGGUUGCCGUCUCCCCUCCGAAAAUCAACGGCGGAAAGUCACUGGCAGUCAGCGUAGUAGUAUCGUUCGCCGAACAUCCAGUGGCAUUCCUGCCGACGUACCCCCACAAUUCUCGUGAUUGACCUCGGAUCAGGUAGGGAUACCCGCUGAACUUAAGCAUAUCAAUAAGCGGAGGA
rnacentral:misc_RNA from 1 species